rnacentral:rRNA from 1 species
UGCUACAUGUUCACGGUACGGGAUAGGUCGAUCGAGAGAGCUGAGAACGCUACACAUCAGAAGCAGCAGCGCGCAAAUACCAUCCCGACACGGGAGGUAGUGACAUAAAUACUGAUACAGGGCUCUUUGGGUCUGUAAUUGGAAUGAGUACAAUUUAAACCUCUAACGAGGAACAAUUGGAGGGCAAGUCUGGUGGAAAUUCAGCUCCAAGCUGCUGACGCCAGAGAUAGUCGGGCAUCUUUUGCGAGAUGUUAUGCCGGCUAGUCGAUGUACCCACUGAACUGAUGGGGGGGUACCGGCAAGACAACCUGGAUCGGGGAAGGCUAAGGCAUCGUCAUAUGCUAUGCUAAUCCCGAGCAGAGCUACCGUGGAGCGAUCCGCGGAUAGCCUGUGUAGAGCACGGAAAGGUGUCGGCCAACUCACGCAGUUGGCUUAAGGGACGUGCCAUUCCCACCCAAAAGGGUGGCUGCCAGCAAUAGCGCCCAUCACGCGAAGGCUGGCAGGUUCAAACGUAGCGGUUUGAAGAUUAUAAUAGGCCAGCAGCCGCGGUAAUUCCAGCUCCAAUAGCGUAUAUUAAAGUUGUUGCAGUUAAAAAGCUCGUAGUUGAAACUUGGGUCUGGCUGGCAGGUCCGCCUCACCGCGUGUACUUGUCCGGCCGGGCCUUCCUUCUGGAGAACCUCAUGCCCUUCACUGGGCGUGUUGGGGACCAGGACUUUUACUUUGAAAAAAUUAGAGUGUUCAAAGCAGGCCUUUGCUCGAAUACGUUAGCAUGGAAUAAUAGAAUAGGACGUGCGGUCCUAUUUUGUUGGUUUCUAGGACCGCCGUAAUGAUUAAUAGGGACAGUCGGGGGCAUCAGUAUUCAAUUGUCAGAGGUGAAAUUCUUGGAUUUAUUGAAGACUAACUACUGCGAAAGCAUUUGCCAAGGAUGUUUUCAUUAAUCAGUGAACGAAAGUUAGGGGAUCGAAGACGAUCAGAUACCGUCGUAGUCUUAACCGUAAACUAUGCCGACUAGGGAUCGGGCGAUGUUCUUUUUCUGACUCGCUCGGCACCUUACGAGAAAUCAAAGUUUUUGGGUCUGGGGGAGUAGCCCCC